rnacentral:rRNA from 2 species
UGCGGUUGGAUCACCUCCUUACCUA